rnacentral:rRNA from 1 species
CUGUAAGCGUAUACCAAAGUUGUUGCAGUUAAAACGCUCGUAGUCGGAAAUUGGUGUGCCCGGCGCCGUGCGCGUAGUGCGUGGGGCGUUUUGUAUGAAGGGUGCGCUUUUGUGGAGGGCGGCGCGUGGUGGCUUAAUUGUUGCUGCGCGCCGGCGCCACCGUUUACUGUGAAAAAAUUAGAGUGUUCAAAGCAGGCGUUUGUCGUGAAUACGUUAGCAUGGGAUAAUGGAAUAGGACUUGGUUUCUAUUUUGUUGGUUUGUGAGAGCCGAGUAAUGAUUAAGAGGGACGGUUGGGGGCAUUUGUAUUCCGGCGUCAGAGGUGAAAUUCUUGGAUUGCCGGAAGACAAACUGCUGCGAAAGCGUCUGCCAAGGACGUUUUCAUUGAUCAAGAACGAAAGUAAGGGGAUCGAAGACGAUCAGAUACCGUCGUAGUCUUUACUAUAAACGAUGAGAACUGGGGAUCGGACGGGCAUUACGAUGACUCGUCCGGAACCCUCCGGGAAACCAAAGUGUUUGCUUUCUGGGGGGAGUAUGGUCGCAAGGCUGAAACUUAAAGGAAUUGACGGAAGGGCAUCACCGGGUGUGGAGCCUGCGGCUUAAUUUGACUCAACACGGGAAAACUUACCAGGUCCGGACAUAGUGAGGAUUGACAGAUUGAGAGCUCUUUCUUGAUUCUAUGGUUGGUG